UAUAGAAAAUAUUUUUACUUUAAAAUUUUAUAAUAUUAGUUAAAAUAUAAUAGAUAUAUUUUAGUAUUCUUAUAAUUCCAAUUUAAAUAUUUUAUUAACUAUUUUUAUUUUUGUAUUUAUAUUGUUUAAAAAAAGAAAAAAAAAUUAUCCUCCCGCAACCGCCAACGCUAGCUAGAACCAAUUUUUGAAUUUAUGAGAUUUAGAGCGGUUUAUGUGAUUGUUGCAAAACACCAACAACCACUACUAAUCACAAAAGCUGCGUUUAAGAGUUGUAGCGGAGAAACCAGUCAUACCCUUAGUGACUCGCGGCCGUCUUUUCUCGUAACAUAACCGAAAGUCUUAACCUAAUGUGAUGGUUUUUUUUAUUAUUUAAGCAUAAAUUAUAUUUUUUAAGCCAUUUGAAUGAUUUUGAAGUUGCAGAUUUUUCAGAUCUGAAACAGACUUUAAAAAACUUAUAUUAGAUGACUCUGAGAAGACUCCUCGGAAGACUUCUAGGCAAGUCUUCUCAUUCAUUUUAUGGUAGAAGACUUUCCACGAAGUCUUCAGGUAGUCUCCCAAAGUCUUCUUCCUAAAGUGGUACAAAUUUUGGAUAUGUAUUUUAUAUGUUUUUUAUAUAUUAAAUCUAAAAAAUUAUAGAUUCAAUCUAAUGUGACUGUUUUGUUUAUUAUUAAGCAUAAAUUUUUUUUUUGAAGUUUUCUCUGUUUUGAAGCCAUUUGAAUGUUUUUGGAUAUGCAAAUUUUUCAUAUUUGAGUCAGACUUUGGAAAAAUUCUUAGAAGACUCUAGGAAGACUUCUUGCGAAGUCUUCUAAUGCAUUUUAUGCUAGAAGACGUCCCACGAAGUCUUCCGAAGUUUUAUGCCCAAAGUGGUAUAAAUUUUGGAUAUGUAUUUUGUGUGUUUUAUAUAUUAGAUUCUAAAAAGUUAUAGAAACAACUGAAUGUGAUUGUUUUGUUAAUUAUUUAAGUAUAAAAUGUUUUUUGAAGCUUUCUUUGUUUUAAGGCAAUUUGAACGCUUUUAAAUAUGUAGAUUUUUUUUCAGAUCUGAAUCAGACUUUGGAAUACUUUUUAGAAGACUCUUAGAAGAAUCUCGGAAGACUCUUAAAAGACUUCUUGCUAAUGAAUUUAUUGCUAGAAGACUUCCCACCAAGUCUUCAGGAAGUCUUCCAAAGUCUUCUGCCCAAAAUGGUACAAAGGAAUGAUGUCAACUGGAGUCCGCCAAGCUUAUCUUUGUAGAAGAAUGAUAUCUAGCUCCAUGUGUAAUAGUUUUGUUUUAAGUCUUGUUUUAUGAUCUGUAUGUGUACUAUUUUAGUUGUGAAUUCUUUUGUAAACUUGAAGAGAUGUUAAUCAAAACAAUUUGGUGAAUAUGUUCAUGUUUUGCCAAAAGUACUUGACAUUAAUGAAUUUAUUAACAUACCAAUUAAAACUUAGUCAAAUUUACUAAAACUAAGAGAGAAGACUUCACAUGAAAACUUAGUCAAAUUCACAAAAUAUCAAAUUUGAAUUUUAAGUAAAAGUUGAAAUUUUAAAUCUUAUGUAAGUUAAAAAGUAUAUCUUAUGAUCUAAAAGAUACAUUAAACCACAUGACAUGAUAUUCUUGAAGUUACUUAACACUCUUGAAAAUCAAACGUAGAAAACUGAAGACUUCUUAAGAAGUUUUCUCGGAUUAGUUAGAAACAUUAGUAAACAUAAAUAUUUGAAAUCUCAUAAUUAUCACCAAAUAAGUUAUGAAUUUCAUCAAAGUGCUCCAAUAUUGACUAAUACACAUGAAUAAAUAAGAAAGUAUUAAAAUAUCAUUUUAAUUGUAGAGAAAAUGAAGGUUUAUUAAACAUUAACGUAGAAGACUUCUAUAGAAGUCUUUUGUUUAUGUCAUUUUUGCAAUUGCAAAUUUACGAAGGAAGACAUCUUAGGAAGUCUAUUCUAUAGAAGACAUGUUGAAAAGCAUUCCUUUGUAAAUGGGCUUACUUUUGAAUUUCAAAAAAAAAAUUGAAAAUGCCAAAGAAGACUUCUCGAAUAAAUAUGUUAGUUUUGCAAUUGACCGAAGUUUGUCAGAAAUUUGACUUUUUAUAAAGACUUCUCAAUGUCGCAAGAAGUCUACAUGGGAUACUUUUGAAAUUGACUAUAUUUGACUUUUCUAGAGAAGUCUUCUCAUUAAUAUUAAAAUUUUUACUAUUAUUUUUCAAUUGCAAAAGUAACCCACGCAAACUUCUUACGACAGUGAGAAGACUUCGGGAAAACUUACAGAAUACUUCUAUAAAAGUUUUUCUCGAAAAGAUUUCCCGAAAAGUCUUCUAUUAAAAGUCAAAUUUCUGACAAAUUUCGGUCAAUUGCAAAACUAACAUGUUUAUCCGGGAUUUUUUUAUUUUUUUUUGUUAAUAAAGGAAAGUUAGAAGACUUCUAGAAAAGUCUUCUUGAUGGAGAACACAUCUAGCGAAGUCUUCUUGAUGGAUAACACAUCUAGCGAAGUCUUCUGAAAGUAUUUCUGAAGUUUUCUUAAAGUCUUCUGAAGAAAAAAAUGAUUGCUUAGCUUGAACAUGUGAGAUGACUUGCUUAGCUUCUCCAAGCACCCAAAACUUCACUACAAAAGCUACCAAUUCGUUAAUGACCACGAAUCAUGAGCUUCAAUAUCUCUAUGAACCUUACAAAUCUUGGAAUCAAAAUCUUGUUUUUUUUUGAUGAAUUUGAAGAGAGAGUGAGAGAGAUGUGAUUUGUGUGCAUAAGUAAUGAGAUAUAAUGAGUUAAAACCGAAACUUUGGUGCAUUAAGAGUUUCAAAUUGGUUGUUCAUAGUGAUUAAUGUAUUGAUAACAAUGUCAACAUUGUAAAUACUUGGGGAAGAUGAAGAUGAUAAAGUAAAAGACUCAUUUUCGAAAAAAAGAAAGAAAAAAAAUAAUAAUGGCAUUUUCGUGAAUAACUCAAACUUCUAGGCUGAAUAGGAAAAAUGAAAGUUUUUAAAAACAUGGGUUAUUUUUGUAUUUCACUUGAAAUUUUAAGUCAUAUUUUAAAAAAGAAUACAAAUUUAGUAAACAAUUUAAUUUUUAUUAAAUAUAUUUUUUGUCAGUUGAAAACCUAUACUCAUGCUUUAAAAGCACAAAAUAAAAUUAAAUUUAAAUAUUAAAAACACUUUUUAUCAUAUGUUUAUAACCAAUCCAGCCAAUACCAAAAGUGGAUACAGAGCUUUUCGGUUAACCAUUAACCUAAGAUUUAAUUUUUUUUGUACAUUAUUCCUAUCAUCUUGUAAAAAUGUUUGAGACCACGCCAUUUACACUGCACGAAGAAAGCUCAUACCCUAGCUUUCAAUCCGCCGGUGUUGAUGAUCAUGUAUCCUGACCAACCAACCAUUCAUUUAAUUAAUUCCCCAUAGUUUUUCUUUGCAAUCAUCUUAAAGACUCAAGGAAAUCUUAUUGAACAUAAAACAAUGGCGAGAUUUCAUAUUUUCCAAAUAGCUUAAGAUACAAGUUUCCUAUGGGUUUCUUGUAAAAGUGUAUUUUAUAUGUAACUGAAUCAAUUGAUGGAUGUCAAAAUCUAUUUCAGUUUCGAUUACGCGUCUAGGAAGAAAUGUAUAAAAGAUUUACAUAUUGACGAUAUUAUAAAAAAAAAGUGUAUCUUAUUGAUAAUACGAGUAAAAACGAGUACAAAUGCAGUAGGUAUCUAAGAACAAAAAAAAAGUAUUGCUCUAGGACAAUUCCCUCCUUUUCUUCUGUCUUUGGUUUUGUUUUUAUAGGUCAAGAGUCGCUCGGAACGGCCAUGUGAUCUCUGACGAGUAUCAUGUGCCUUUAUUCCUUUGAACUGUAUUACACUGUGGUUUGAUUGUGUUAGCUCUGCAUGAACCGUUUGUUGAGCUUGGCAUGGGCCUUAGAUUUUUGUGAGCCUGUUAUUUUGUAGUGAGUCUGGAGAAUUUUGACUCAGGCUCGGACCGGGUAUAAAGCAGGCUGAAUUUCACCUCUAACAUCAAUGAUAACAUGUUCUUUUCAAAAUGCGUCGGUAGCUGUAACUCUUUUUUUGUCAUUAAGGAUAAUAAAGUUCUGUCCCAGCCAAACGAUAAGGGAUAAACAACAUAGAGUAUCGAGCAGAACUAAAACCAACUCCAAUAGGAGAGAAAAAAAACAGAGCCUUAAAGAAAGGAAACCAAAGCACAGCUACCCAUCAGAACAUGGAACUCCUUAAGCUAAUGCUUCCUGGCGAAUCAGAGAUGCCAACCACACAGGACCGUGAAGAGCUACAUACGACUGAUGUUUAUGAUCUCUCGUAAUCAUAUUGGCUAAGUUGUUACAGGAGACCGGGACAAAAUUCAAACUGUCUUCCACAAUGGAAUGUAUCGUAUAUAGCGUAAAUUAAGGAACAGCUUUGAUAAUCGCCUAAGGACACAAGUGAAUGCUCCAUAGAUUUUUUGACUUCUGAAGACGAGAACUCCAUAAUUACAUUUUAAAGCUUGAGGUCGCACAUGGCUGCUGCAGCCCACUGUGCUACCAAGUUAGCUUGGGAGGAAGAUCCAGUUUGAGAAAAAGACCUUCUGUUGUGGAACAAAACCAACCUUUCUCAUCACGUACAAUACAAGCACCCCCUUCUAUUUUUGAACUCCCAUCCCAAGAUGAUCCCACAUUGCAUUUAACAAAGGAUGAAGGAGGUUUUUGCCACUUCCCAGGAAAAAAUGAAUGCUAACAACAAAGUUGGAUGAAGGAGGUUCCAAGUGAAGUCAGCCAUGGUUUGAUUGGUUUCUCUUUAUAAACAAUUUAUAUCUUACUUUCUCCCCUUUGUUUAGUUUUUUCUUCCUGAUUUUGAAUUUAUAUAACUAUUGUAAGAUCAUUUGGUGGGGUCACAUAUGUUAAGAAAUAAAUAUGAUAGGACCAUUAAUCAAUUAGCCUAUUUAAGUGGUCACUAUUGUGAAUAAGGUAAAUGCUUGGGCAUAAGUGCUAUGAAAUAUUUAUAUGUGGUACCUUAAGUAAUUUCUAGUUUUGUGAAGGGCUGAACUAAAAAUUAAUACUCUAUAUAAAGAGGGUUUUGGUCUCCAAGGAAACCCUAGCCGAAAAUACAUAAUUUCUCUAUAUCCCAUCAAUAGAGAACUAAAGUCACAUAGAGUUUGACUUGGAAGAUCCAUUCCCUAACUUCAGAUCCUAUAAGCAAUGGAUACAUCAGAAUUUUUGGAGGAACAAUUUUUCCAGAUCUGUUCUCAGAUCCGUUUUUUUGGGGUCUUGGCGGCUGAAAAAACCUGUUUGAGGUUAUCAUGAAAACCCUAGGUUGGAGAUAAAUCCGUGGUAGGCAUGUUUUGUUAUUUGGCCCAUAUCCAGUUUCUGAUUUAAUUAAUUAUUUUGGGCUUGCAAAUUUAAUUAUUUUAGCCUAAUUUCUUUUGUUUUAAAUCAGUUGGGCCAGUUUGGAACAAACUUUAAGUCAGGCCCGUCCAGCUUUUAAUUAAGUUAAAAAGCGCAUAAGGUUGGUUUCAAACAAAGGUCGUGUGUGAAGCUGGCGCCCACUGCCAUGUCUCGAACCAUUCUCCCGCUUCAGUAUUUUUGUAUAUAGAGCCCACAGACUUCUAGUUAUCUGUCUGCGCAAGAAUAAAAUUCAGUUUUAAAUCAACUAAUAAAUUUGAUAAUGCA